AGAUUGAAAGGCCUCUGCAAAGACAUGAUGGUAUGCUUGAACACAAUGAGACACACUCUAGAUGGCCUACUGAACUUGUCCUGAAGUUAAAGAUGAAAAUGGCCCAAAAUCGAAGCUGAUUUUGAUUUUGCAGUGUUUGAGUGUGCUGAAAGACAAGGAAGAAA